rnacentral:tRNA from 1 species
GCCUUGGUAGCGUAGUGGAAGACGCUCACCUGGUAAACAGGAGGGUGUGGGUUCGAUCCCAGCCAAGGCA